rnacentral:sRNA from 1 species
AGUAUGGUAAUUACGUUUGGUUUAGUCCCACACGGAAAGAUUAACAAAAUUGGCACAGUAAAUAUGAGUAUAUUACUAGAGGGUAGGGAGACCUUUAAACAUACUUACCUGGACAGGGUCUAUGGGCGAUCAAGAAGUCUCAUGGCCUAGAUCAAUGGCUCACAUUGCACGUAGUGAGUGUGUUGAUCUACCAUCUCCCUUGGGAGAGUGGAUGUCAUAAUUUCUGAUAGAGGGGGUACCCGUCCGCGUGGCCCCUGC